rnacentral:piRNA from 1 species
UGUUUUUGAUUUUGGUUCAGAGCUGGUU